UUAAUUUAUUUGCAGUUACCACCAUCGACCAGACCAAUGCGUUCUAUGCUGAUAUUGUGUAGGAGGACCCUGCUCCGGAGACUGAGCCGGCUAGUAAAAAAGGAGCAAGCAUCUCCGUUGGCGCUGAUAAAUAAUAUUGUGGCUUCAGGAGCAGAAUCAUCUUGAGGAACAGCGACAAUGCACAACGAUUGGUGCCAAUCCAUACGGCACCGUCACUGGUCCAUUUGUGAUUACCGUUUUCGCAACCCACCUGAUUCAUGAAGGCCGUAAAAUCUGACGUUCGCUUCUGGCAGCAGGACCCAAACUUAAGGCCCUCGUGGAAGAUUGGCACCCCGGAUGAAACACACAUUUUGGUCGUUUUUGGUUCCCUCGAACGAGUAAGUGCAACCGCCAUGUUUGCAUGUCGUUCCGGGUUGUAUCUCCGUCGGAUCGGAUAUGUUUUUAACCAGAGCAGGGCCUACAGGAAGAUUAUCGAUUUGACUUUUGAAAGCCGGCGCUACCAAAAAUGUCGUUGGCGCUGAUAAAUAAUAUCAUUGUGGCUUCAGGGGCAGAAUCAUCUUGAGGAACAGCGACAAUGCACCAGAGAAGCAAACGCUUGCCUCAAAGCGGAAGAUCAGCGGUCGACUGAGGAAGGAAUUUGAAGCCAAUCCGAAUCGGUUCAACUGGUGGUACUUUCAUGUAUUCACUGCCGGUACGGUCUAUAUCCUCGCAACAUAUUGGGCCGUCGUCAAUUCGUUCGCCAAGUGUCCGGCGUAUGCGACAGCUGCUGAAAAUGACUCAAGCUGGUCCGGGUGACGUAUCAGGAACGGCAAUGGCAGCCCUCACCGGCCAUCAGAGCCCGGCACCUACACCGAGCACAAAACUGCCCCGCAGCCACCACCCGAUCGACAUCAACCCGGCCGAGUAUUCUAAGCUCAAGCUAGAUAAGACAGUGUUUGACGCAAUCGAAUAUCCGGAAUGCUAUGGAUCCAUCUGCUUACCGGUCAUGGACUCCGAGCAUGUGUGAAACGUAUGAAGCGCAGCAACCGAUGAUCCGACCGGCAUUGGAUUACUCUAGCGAUACAGAAGCCACUAUCGGAUCGCGGCCCACCCGGCCAUGGCAAACACGAAAGCUCGAGACAGCACUCAAACCCUUGGAAGUGGUCCAGAAAUUGCCAACUUUAACUCAAUCCCGCGCGAUCGACCCGGGGCAUGUAUGGGUCUCCAGAGCCGUGUAGCUGACCGUCUGCAGGACGAAAGCGACGAAAUCCUUUCAGCUCCCAAGUACUCACUGCUCAUCUGAAGGGAGCCUAGAGAUCUUCACCAGCGGUUCACCGCCAGUCCAUAGAUCUUAAGAACACCGAAAACAUCUUCAGCAGCCGGUGGUACCUUCAUAUACUCACUGCCGGUACGGUCUAUGUCCUCGCAACAUAUUGGGCCGUCGUCAAUUCGUUCGCCAAGUGUCCGGCGUAUGCGACAGCUGCUAAAAAUGACUCAAGCUGGUCCGGGUGACGCACCAGGAUCGGCAAUGGUAGCCCUGACCGUCCAUCAGAGCCCGGCACCUACACCGAGCACAAAACUGAUCCGCACCCACAACCCGAUCGACAUCAACCCGGCCGAGUAUACUAAGCUCAAGCUUGAUAAGACAGUGGUUGACGCAAUCGAAUGUCCGGAAUGCUGUGGAUCCAUCUGCUUGCCGGUCGUGGACUACGGGCCACGUCGAAACCGUCUCAAGGGCAGCAACCAUUGAUCCGAGAUUUGAAUCGACCCGGGUCCCGUAUGGGUCUCCGGAGCCGUAUCGCUGACCGUCUGCAGGACGAAAACGACGGAAACCUUUCAGCUCCCAAGUACUCACUGCCCAUCUGAAGGGAGCCUCGAGAUCUUCGCCAGCGUUUGACCGCCAGUCCAUCGGUCUUAAGAUUCCGAAAACAUCUUCAGCAGCCGGUGGUACCUUCAUAUAUUCAUUGCCGGUACGGUCUAUGUUCUCGCAACAUAUUGGGCCGUCGUCAAUUCGUUCGCCAAGUGUCCGGCGUAUGCGACAGCUGCUGAAAAUGACUCAAGCUGGUCCGGGUGGCGCACCAGGAUCGGCAUUGGCAGCCCUCACCGUCCAUCAGAGCCCGGCACCUACACCGAGCACAAAACUGCCCCGCACCCACAACCCGAUCGACAUCAACCCGGCCGAGUAUUCUAAGCUCAAGCUAGAUAAGACAGUGAUUGACGCAAUCGGAAUAUCCGGAAUGCUGUGGAUCCAUCGGCUUACGGUCAUGGACUACGGGCCAUGUGUGAAACGUAUGAAGCGCAGCAACCGAUGAACCGACCGGCGUUGGAUUACUCGAGCGAUACGGAAGCCAUCAUCGGAUCGUGGCCCACCCGGCCAUGGCAUACACGAAAGCUCGAGACAGCACUCAAACCCUUGGAGGUGGUCCAGAAUGUGCCAACUUUAACUCAAUCCCGCGCGUUCGACCCGGGGCAUGUAUGGGUCUCCAGAGCCGUUUAGCUGCCGUCUGCAGGACGAAAGCGAUGAAAUCCUUUCAGCUCCCAAGUACUCACUGCCCAUCUGAAGGGAGCCUAGAGAUCUUCGCCAGCGUUUGGCCGCCAGUCCAUGGACCUUAAGAACACCGAAAACAUCUUCAGCAGCCGGUGGUACCUUCAUAUAUUCACCGCCGGUACGGUCUAUGUCCUCGCAACAUAUUGGGCCGUCGUCAAUUCGUUCGCCAAGUGUCCGGCGUAUGCGACAGCUGCUGAAAAUGACUCAAGCUGGUCCGGGUGGCGCACCAGCAUCGGCAAUAGCAGCCCUCACCGGCCAUCAGAGCCCGGCACCUACAUCGAGCACAACACUGCCACGCACCCACUAUCCGAUCGACAUCAACCCGGCCGAGUAUUCCAAGCUCAAACUGGAUAAGACAGUGGUUGGCGCAAUCGAAUAUCCGGAAUGCUGUGGAUCCAUCUGCUUGCCGGUCGUGGACUACGGGUUACGCCUGAACCACCUCAAGUGCAGCAUCCGAUGAUCCGAGAUUUGUAUUGCGUACUGGAAUGCGAUCGUAUCCGGGUUGCUGGAUGGAUCGUGGGAUCCUCAACAUCGACACAAGCUGUGUCAUAGAUGUGCACUUUCACUAACUAUUCUCCUGCGGCAACUGCCCGCAAGCUGCACCGGAACGGAACUUGGCCUCGGGACAGCACGGAUGUUCUGUCGAAAAUUCAAAACGCUGUAAAAAUUGUAGGGGUUCCGUACUAUUUAGUUGCUAAAUAUAUAAUU